CUCUGUGACUCCUACGGGAGGCAGCAGUGGGGAAUAUUGCACAAUGGGCGCAAGCCUGAUGCAGCCAUGCCGCGUGUGUGAAGAAGGCCUUCGGGUUGUAAAGCACUUUCAGUUGUGAGGAAGGUGGUGUCGUUAAUAGCGGCAUCAUUUGACGUUAGCAACAGAAGAAGCACCGGCUAACUCCGUGCCAGCAGCCGCGGUAAUACGGAGGGUGCGAGCGUUAAUCGGAAUUACUGGGCGUAAAGCGCAUGCAGGUGGUUUGUUAAGUCAGAUGUGAAAGCCCGGGGCUCAACCUCGGAACUGCAUUUGAAACUGGCAGACUAGAGUACUGUAGAGGGGGUAGAAUUUCAGGUGUAGCGGUGAAAUGCGUAGAGAUCUGAAGGAAUACCGGUGGCGAAGGCGGCCCCCCUGGACAGAUACUGACACUCAGAUGCGAAAGCGUGGGGAGCAAACAGGAUUAGAUACCCUGGUAG
rnacentral:rRNA from 1 species